GCGCCCUUGGUGUAGCGGUAACACACAAUCUCCUAUUAAUAUCUUGGCUGUAGUCAUAUGAUUGAGUCCGGGGUUCGAGCCCCCGAGGACGCA